rnacentral:rRNA from 1 species
UCAUGCAAGUCGAGCGGACAGAUGGGAGCUUGCUCCCUGUAUGUUAGCGGCGGACGGGUGAGUAACACGUGGGUAACCUGCCUGUAAGACUGGGAUAACUCCGGGAAACCGGGGCUAAUACCGGAUGCUUGAUUGAACCGCAUGGUUCAAUUAUAAAAGGUGGCUUUUAGCUACCACUUACAGAUGGACCCGCGGCGCAUUAGCUAGUUGGUGAGGUAACGGCUCACCAAGGCAACGAUGCGUAGCCGACCUGAGAGGGUGAUCGGCCACACUGGGACUGAGACACGGCCCAGACUCCUACGGGAGGCAGCAGUAGGGAAUCUUCCGCAAUGGACGAAAGUCUGACGGAGCAACGCCGCGUGAGUGAUGAAGGUUUUCGGAUCGUAAAACUCUGUUGUUAGGGAAGAACAAGUACCGUUCGAAUAGGGCGGUACCUUGACGGUACCUAACCAGAAAGCCACGGCUAACUACGUGCCAGCAGCCGCGGUAAUACGUAGGUGGCAAGCGUUGUCCGGAAUUAUUGGGCGUAAAGCGCGCGCAGGCGGUUUCUUAAGUCUGAUGUGAAAGCCCCCGGCUCAACCGGGGAGGGUCAUUGGAAACUGGGGAACUUGAGUGCAGAAGAGGAGAGUGGAAUUCCACGUGUAGCGGUGAAAUGCGUAGAGAUGUGGAGGAACACCAGUGGCGAAGGCGACUCUCUGGUCUGUAACUGACGCUGAGGCGCGAAAGCGUGGGGAGCGAACAGGAUUAGAUACCCUGGUAGUCCACGCCGUAAACGAUGAGUGCUAAGUGUUAGAGGGUUUCCGCCCUUUAGUGCUGCAGCAAACGCAUUAAGCACUCCGCCUGGGGAGUACGGUCGCAAGACUGAAACUCAAAGGAAUUGAC